AAAAAAAACAGAAAGGAAAUUUUCUAGUAUAAAAUUGAGGUUGUUAGUUGAAUAUGACUAAGGGGUGCCAUUUGUAAUCGAUUGCUCCGAGUAAUAAAUUAUCCACAGAUAUCCCUUGUUGAAGCUCUUGAAUAUGUUCCUACAAAACCAAGGUUUCCUAGCCAGCAUCACUGCUGAAAAUGAGAUUCUGGUGUGGGAUUUAGAGCAAAGGCUACUGGUUUCUACUUUGCGAUGGGAGUCAAAUAUAACAGCAUUCUCUGUUAUUUGUGG